GACCCCUGAUAAUGGACAAAGAGACACUUUGUUGGUGGUGGUAUUCUUAUAUCAGUCAGGGGCAGAACAAAUGGUGGUCUUUUGUUCAUCCUAGCUUGAUGUAUGACUUGGUAGUCAAAGAUUUCUUAUGCCUAGGACUCAAAA